rnacentral:rRNA from 1 species
GACGAACGCUGGCGGCGUGCUUAACACAUGCAAGUCGAACGAUGAAGAAGAGAAACGCGAACUUCGGUUCAAAUUUCACUUCGGAUUAGUGGCAGACGGGUGAGUAACGCGUGAGCAACCUACCUCUUACAAAGGGAUAGCCUCGGGAAACCGUGAUUAAUACCAUAUGACACAUUCAUAAGGCAUCUUAAGAAUGUUAAAGCUACGGCGGUAAGAGAUGGGCUCGCGUCCCAUUAGCUAGUUGGUGAGGUAACGGCCCACCAAGGCGACGAUGGGUAACCGGCCUGAGAGGGUGAACGGUAACAUUGGAACUGAGACACGGUCCAAACUCCUACGGGAGGCAGCAGUGGGGAAUAUUGCACAAUGGAGGGAACUCUGAUGCAGCGACGCCGCGUGAGCGAUGAAGGAAUUCGUUUCGUAAAGCUCUGUUCUAUGGGAAGAAAAGGACUGUACCAUAGGAGAAAGCCCCGGCUAAAUACGUG